GGAGUUAGCCGGUGCUUCUUCUGUGAGUGAUGUCCUUCCUGCCGGCUAUUAACCCGCAGGCCUUCUUCCUCACUGAAAGUGCUUUACAACCCGAAGGCCUUCUUCACACACGCGGCAUGGCUGGAUCAGGGUUGCCCCCAUUGUCCAAUAUUCCCCACUGCUGCCUCCCGUAGGAGUCUGGGCCGUGUCUCAGUCCCAGUGUGGCUGAUCAUCCUCUCAGACCAGCUACGGGAUCGUCGCCUUGGUGAGCCGUUACCUCACCAACCAGCUAAUCCGACAUAGGCUCAUUCCGAUAGCGCGAGGCCCGAAGGUCCCCCGNUUUCCCCCGUAGGGCGUAUGCGGUAUUAGCCUGGGUUUCCCCAGGUUAUCCCCCACUACCGGGCAGAUUCCUAUGCAUUACUCACCCGUCCGCCGCUCGCCACCAGGGAGCAAGCUCCCCGUGCUGCCGCUCGACUUGCAUGUGUAGCNCGCGCCAGCGUCAUCUGAGCAUGAUCAACUACUGA
rnacentral:rRNA from 1 species